rnacentral:rRNA from 1 species
UACGUAGGGCGCAAGCGUUAUCCGGAAUUAUUGGGCGUAAAGAGCUCGUAGGCGGUUUGUCGCGUCUGCCGUGAAAGUCCGGGGCUCAACUCCGGAUCUGCGGUGGGUACGGGCAGACUAGAGUGAUGUAGGGGAGACUGGAAUUCCUGGUGUAGCGGUGAAAUGCGCAGAUAUCAGGAGGAACACCGAUGGCGAAGGCAGGUCUCUGGGCAUUAACUGACGCUGAGGCACGAAAGCGUGGGUAGCAAACAGG